rnacentral:rRNA from 1 species
AGUAAAUAGAUACCCCGGUAGUCCACGCCGUAAACGAUGUCGACUUGGAGGUUGUGCCCUUGAGGCGUGGCUUCCGGAGCUAAACGCGUUAAAGUCGACCGCCUGGGGAGUACGGCCGCAAGGUUAAAACUCAAAUGAAUUGACGGGGGCCCGCACAAGCGGUGGAGCAUGUGGUUUAAUUCGAUGCAACGCGAAGAACCUUACCUACUCUUGACAUCCAGAGAACUUAGCAGAGAUGCUUUGGUGCCUUCGGGAACUCUGAGACAGGUGCUGCAUGGCUGUCGUCAGCUCGUGUUGUGAAAUGUUGGGUUAAGUCCCGCAACGAGCGCAACCCUUAUCCUUUGUUGCCAGCGGUUAGGCCGGGAACUCAAAGGAGACUGCCAGUGAUAAACUGGAGGAAGGUGGGGAUGACGUCAAGUCAUCAUGGCCCUUACGAGUAGGGCUACACACGUGCUACAAUGGCGCAUACAAAGAGAAGCGACCUCGCGAGAGCAAGCGGACCUCAUAAAGUGCGUCGUAGUCCGG